UCGGGAAUUUUGGGCAAUGGGCGAAAGCCUGACCCAGCAACGCCGCGUGCGGGAAGAAGGCCCUCGGGUUGUAAACCGCUUUCAGAAGGAACGAAACUGACGGUACUUUCAGAAGAAGGUGCGGCCAACUACGUGCCAGCAGCCGCGGUGACACGUAGGCACCAAGCGUUGUCCGGAUUUAUUGGGCGUAAAGAGCUCGUAGGCGGUUGCGUAAGUCGGAUGUGAAAACUCAGGGCUCAACCCUGAGACGCCAUCCGAUACUGCGCUGACUUGAAUCCAGUAGGGGAGUGUGGAAUUCCUGGUGUAGCGGUGAAAUGCGCAGAUAUCAGGAGGAACACCCAUGGCGAAGGCAGCACUCUGGGCUGGUAUUGACGCUGAGGAGCGAAAGCAUGGGUAGCGAACAGGAUUAGAUACCCUCGUAGUCCCUGAGCGGGCUGGCAAGGCG
rnacentral:rRNA from 1 species